AUAGGAGUGUCCCAGCAGGAGCAGGGAUGUGAUCCUCAGCGCUGUGUUUCGUCAAGAGCUCUCAUCAUGACCUAGCCACUAACAUAUGAGAGCAGCCAGCAAGGACUUUAUGGGCCGGCGCUUCCGCAGCCUCCCUGGAGAAUCACUGCGGUUGUUCUGCUCCGCAAGCCAACGCAGCCUAUUCGACAAGGACUGCAAGGAAAUGAGCCCAGAGAACUCCUUCUGCUCUACACUCACACUGGUGUUGCCUUUUUUAAGCAGUAGUUACUCCAAAAAAAUGAAAAAAGCACCCCAAAACUGUUUGUUGCAUUAUCAGGAGUUAUUUCACACAGCUAUUAUUCAUCCAAGAGCUGUGUAGCUUUCUCACUUGCUUAAUAUAUUUUUACAAGAACAUUACUAGUUAUUUAAUACUCUGUAUGCCAAUGGUUUUCAAGCACUUACUGAACGAGACAUUCAUCAAAUAAAUUUCUAUUAGCUGUG